CCUACGGGUGACAGCAGUGAGGAAUAUUGGUCAAUGGGAGAGAUCCUGAACCAGCCAAGCCGCGUGAGGGAAGACGGCCCUAUGGGUUGUAAACCUCUUUUGUCGGAGAACAAAACCCGGGACGUGUCCCGGACUGUGUGUAUCCGAAGAAAAGCAUCGGCUAACUCCGUGCCAGCAGCCGCGGUAAUACGGGGGAUGCGAGCGUUAUCCGGAUUUUAUGGGUUUAAGGGGUGCGUAGGCGGUCCGUUAAGUCAGCGGUAAAAUUGAGAGGCUAAACCUCGUCGAGCCGUUGAAACUGGUUUUCUUGAGUGAGCGAGAGGUAUGCGGAAUGCGUGGUGUAGCGGUGAAAUGCAUAGAUAUCACGCAGAACACCGAUUGCGAAGGCAGCAUACCGGCGCUCAACUGACGCUCAGGCACGAAAGUGUGGGUAGCGAACAGGAUUAGAUACCCCAGUAGUC
rnacentral:rRNA from 1 species